ACAAGGAUGAGUGAAAUGUGCUUGAGGCGUGCCUGGUUGCGCCUUGUGCAUGGUGCAAGGCACACACCUUGCUAACAUCCCAGCCUUUUGCUUCUUGAGGCCCUGACACUUGCACCUCAAGUACACUUUUAACAACACAUUAUCAAGAACUUGAUACACGCAUAAACAUUAAAAGUGUUAAAAUACCCUGUUAAAGGAAACAUUUUCAUUCAUUGUCCAAACUCAAAUUAAAAUGCAGAAAGAGUAUCCAGACUGAAUUGUCAAGGCAAUAAAAUAUCAACGGCUAAAAGCACCUGUGCCAACUUGCUGCUAGCA
rnacentral:misc_RNA from 1 species